UACGGAGACUGCAAGCGUUUAUUCGGAUUCACUGGGCGUAAAGGGUGCGCAGGCGGCCAAGUGUGUCAGGUGUGAAAUCCCGAGGCUUAACCUCGGAACUGCGCCUGAAACUACUUGGCUAGAGUACUGGAGAGGGUAACGGAAUUCACGGUGUAGCAGUGAAAUGCGUAGAUAUCGUGAGGAACACCAGAGGCGAAGGCGGUUACCUGGACAGUUACUGACGCUCAGGGCACGGAAAAGCGUGGGGGAGCAAAAAGGG
rnacentral:rRNA from 1 species